rnacentral:rRNA from 1 species
CUCCUACGGGAGGCAGCAGUGGGGAAUAUUGCACAAUGGGGGAAACCCUGAUGCAGCGAUGCCGCGUGGAGGAAGAAGGUUUUCGGAUUGUAAACUCCUGUUAACGGGGACGAUAAUGACGGUACCCGAAUAGAAAGCUCCGGCUAACUACGUGCCAGCAGCCGCGGUAAUACGUAGGGAGCGAGCGUUGUCCGGAAUUACUGGGUGUAAAGGGAGCGUAGGCGGGAUGGUAAGUCAGAUGUGAAAACUAUGGGCUCAACCCAUAGACUGCAUUUGAAACUGCUGUUCUUGAGUGAAGUAGAGGCAAGCGGAAUUCCUAGUGUAGCGGUGAAAUGCGUAGAUAUUAGGAGGAGCACCAGUGGCGAAGGCGACUUACUGGACUGUAACUGACAUUGAAGCACGAAAGUGUGGGGAGCAAACAGGAUUAGAUACCCUGGUAGUCCACACUGUAAACGAUGGAUACUAGGUGUAGGGAGGGAUUCCUUUCUGUGCCGAACGCUAACGCAAUAAGUAUCCCACCUGGGGAGUACGACCGCAAGGUUGAAACUCAAAGGAAUUGACGGGGGCCCGCACAAGCAGUGGAGUAUGUGGUUUAAUUCGAAGCAACGCGAAGAAUCUUACCAAGGUUUGACAUGCAGAUGAAUAUAUAAGAGAUUAUAUAGUCCUUCGGGACGUCUGUGCAGGUGGUGCAUGGUUGUCGUCAGCUCGUGUCGUGAGAUGUUGGGUUAAGUCCCGCAACGAGCGCAACCCCUGUGAUUAGUUGCCAGCACGUAAUGGUGGGAACUCUAAUCAGACUGCCGUGAAUAACGCGGAGGAAGGUGGGGAUGACGUCAAAUCAUCAUGCCCUAUAUAUCUUGGGCUACACACGUACUACAAUGGCCGUAACAGAGGGAAGCAAUGUAGUAAUACAAAGCAAAACCCAAAAAUCGGUCUCAGUUCGGAUUGAGGACUGAAAUUCGUCCUCAUGAAGCCGGAAUUGCUAGUAAUGGCAGGUCAGCAUACUGCCGUGAAUACGUUCCCGGGCCUUGUACACACCGCCCGU